rnacentral:rRNA from 1 species
GACAGAGGGUGCAAACGUUGCUCGGAAUUACUGGGCGUAAAGCGCAUGUAGGCGGUUCCGUAAGUCGGAUGUGAAAGCCCUCGGCUUAACCGAGGAAGUGCAUUCGAUACUGCAGAACUAGAGUACCGGAGAGGGUCGUGGAAUUCCUGGUGUAGAGGUGAAAUUCGUAGAUAUCAGGAGGAACACCGGCGGCGAAGGCGGCAUCCUGGACCGACACUGACGCUGAGGAGCGAAAGCCAGGGGAGCAAACGGG